UACGUAGGGUGCGAGCGUUAAUCGGAAUUACUGGGCGUAAAGCGUGCGCAGGCGGCUUUGCAAGACAGAUGUGAAAUCCCCGGGCUCAACCUGCGAACUGCAUUUGUGACUGCAAGGCUAGAGUACGGCAGAGGGGGAUGGAAUUCCGCGUGUAGCAGUGAAAUGCGUAGAUAUGCGGAGGAACACCAAUGGCGAAGGCAAUCCCCUGGGCCUGUACUGACGCUCAUGCACGAAAGCGUGGGGAGCAAACAGG
rnacentral:rRNA from 1 species